UACAGAGGGGGCCAGCGUUGUUCGGAAUUAUUGGGCGUAAAGCGCGUGUAGGCGGCUUGGUAAGUCGGGUGUGAAAUCCUGGAGCUCAACUCCAGAACCGCCUUCGAUACUGGAGAGCUCGAGUCCGGGAGAGGUGAGUGGAACUGCGAGUGUAGAGGUGAAAUUCGUAGAUAUCUGGAGGAACACCGGUGGCGAAGGCGGCAUCCUGGACCGGCAUUGACGCUGAGGCGCGAAAGCCAGGGGAGCAAACGGG
rnacentral:rRNA from 1 species